rnacentral:rRNA from 1 species
AUUGAACGCUGGCGGCAGGCCUAACACAUGCAAGUCGAACGGUAACAGGAAGCAGCUUGCUGCUUCGCUGACGAGUGGCGGGCGGGUGAGUAAUGUCUGGGAAGCCGCCUGAAGGAGGGGAAAAACUCCUGGAAACGGUAGCUAAUACCGCAUAAUGUCGCAACACCAAAGAGGGGGAGCUUCGGGCCUCUUGCCAUCGGAUGUGCGCAGAUGGGAUUAGCUAGUUGGUGGGGUAACGGCUCACCAAGGCGACGAUCCCUAGCUGGUCUGAGAGGAUGACCAGCCACACUGGAACUGAGACACGGUCCAGACUCCUACGGGAGGCAGCAGUGGGGAAUAUUGCACAAUGGGCGCAAGCCUGAUGCAGCCAUGCCGCGUGUAUGAAGAAGGCCUUCGGAUUGUAAAGUACUUUCAGCGGGGAGGAAGAGAGUAAAGUUAAUACCUGUGCUCAUUGACGUUACCCGCAGAAAAAGCACCGGCUAACUACGUG